CGGCGGACGGGUGAGUAAUGCCUAGGGAUCUGCCCAGUCGAGGGGGAUAACAGUUGGAAACGACUGCUAAUACCGCAUGCGCCCUACGGGGGAAAGGAGGGGACCUUCGGGCCUUCCGCGAUUGGAUGAACCUAGGUGGGAUUAGCUAGUUGGUGAGGUAAUGGCUCACCAAGGCGACGAUCCCUAGCUGUUCUGAGAGGAUGAUCAGCCACACUGGGACUGAGACACGGCCCAG
rnacentral:rRNA from 1 species